CCACAUUCCAACUACCUUUGGUUUCUGCCUCCACUGGCUCAUGAAUACUGGUGGCCGAGUUAAGAUGGGGAAACUGAAGUCCAGAAAGACCAAGGGAAUCCCUUAAAAUGGAGAGCUGGUGAGAGAGGGAGGCAGAAAGGAUUGGCUAAAAAAGAAGAUGAUGGAAGUAAGAUGAUACACUACUGGCUUUGAAGAUGCAGGAAGGGUCCAGGGGCCAAGGAAUGCGAGGAAUGAAGCUCUAGAAGCCAGAAAAGACAAGAAGUGGAUUCGUGUCUAGGGCCUUUAGAAAGGAACCCAACCCUACUAACUCCUUGAUGUUAGCCUGAUGUUAGCCCAGUGAG